AAGAGUUUUAUUUGGCAUUAUUUAUACAGGAAAAGCUGGCAGAAUACAGACACAAUACGCAAAGGCAGCCUUACCUUCAGACUCCUUCUACAAGGAACCAUGUGAUCGAGAGAAUGUGGUCAGAGGUGAAUGCCAGAGUCAACUACCCUUUAAAGACAGCUUUGGUAGAGAUGGUGGACCAAGAGGACGUUGAUAUGGAGGACAACACAUCAAAGUAUUGUGUGUCAAACCUGACAUGCCAGCUGGCUAGGAUUGGCAUCACAAAAGUUACAGAGGCAUGGAAUGCACACAGGAUCCCGGGAAAGGGAAUACCAAAUGAACUGGCUAAAGAAGGGUGUCCUGCAAAAAUUCCUGCAGACCUUCUGUCUGUUGGUUCCGUUGCAGCUGACCCGUAUCAGCAGGAAAUGGGAUCCACGUUGAAAAGGGAGUCCAUUUUUGGAUGUGAUCCUUUCCACUCUGAAGAGGCACAACAAUGGACUGAAACUGAGUUUGGUUCUCAAUUUGACAUGUUAUCACUGUAUGA